CAGAGUUCAUGCCCUUCGGGGUAGACCUCCCACCCUUGUGUAUUUAUACCUUUGUUGCUUUGGUAGGCCGUUGGGCUUCGGCCCGGCUACCGGCCCCGGCUGGUGAGUGCCUACCAGAGGUAACCAAACUCUGAAUGUUAUUGUCGUCUGAGUACUAUAUAAUAGUUA
rnacentral:misc_RNA from 1 species